rnacentral:rRNA from 2 species
UGUAUAAUGGGUCAGCGACUUACGUUCAGUAGCAAGCUUAACCGUAUAGGGCAGGCGUAGCGAAAGCGAGUCCGAAUAGGGCGUUCAGUUGCUGGGCGUAGACCCGAAACCAGGUGAUCUAUCCAUGGCCAGGAUGAAGGUGCGGUAACACGUACUGGAGGUCCGAACCCACUAACGUUGAAAAGUUAGGGGAUGAGCUGUGGAUAGGGGUGAAAGGCUAAACAAACCUGGAAAUAGCUGGUUCUCUCCGAAAACUAUUUAGGUAGUGCCUCGUGUCUCACCUUCGGGGGUAGAGCACUGUCAUGGUUGGGGGGUCUAUUGCAGAUUACCCCGCCAUAGCAAACUCCGAAUACCGAAGAGUGCAAUCACGGGAGACAGACAUCGGGUGCUAACGUCCGGUGUCAAGAGGGAAACAACCCAGACCGCCAGCUAAGGUCCCCAAAUAUAGCUAAGUGGGAAACGAAGUGGGAAGGCUAAAACAGUCAGGAGGUUGGCUUAGAAGCAGCCACCCUUUAAAGAAAGCGUAAUAGCUCACUGAUCGAGUCGUCCUGCGCGGAAGAUGUAACGGGGCUAAGCUA